AGAGCAGAGACACAACAACAGGUCAACUGAUCAGGAGAACUUUCCAUGUUCAUGGAAAUGAAAAGGAGAGGGAGAACGGUUAGGUGAUGGCAGCAUCAUGUCAGCCAAUGACCUUUUCCAGGAACCAACCACAGCUAAUCAACGCCAGACCAGGUGUAGCUUCUGUGGAGAGAAAAAUAACUGAGCAAACAAGAAGCUUAGUUUCUAACUAUACUUUUUAGUUAGAAAAUAUUUUGUUUCUAACUAAGCUGGUUGUUUAGUUAGAAACACCAGAGCGCCACCUUCUGGCCUCUCUCCAGAUCAGUUCAGGUCAGAGAAUGGAACUGUUUCUGUCUUUGUUUUUUCCCCUCCGUGGGCUGCCACCUUAUCGUGGUGGAGGGGUUUGAGUGUCCCAGUGAUCCUAGGAGCCAUCGGAGGCUUCAUGGCUCUAUUUGGGUCGGGUCUGCCAGGACAAACUGGUCCUAGGUGAGGGAUAGGACCAAGAGCAGCCCAGAGAUCACUUAGACAUUUUUUAAUCCAAAUACGCAGCAGAUUGCUGAUGGACGAGCCCCGCAGCUCUUCCACUGGGCUCAGCAGGUUUUCUGGAGGAAACCCUGAAAGCUUUUCCAGGGAGAGUUUCACCAGGUGUCCUACAGCAGAUUGAUGGUGAGCCGAACCAGUGUGUCGCUACGACUCGCUUAUCUGAGGCGCCAUUGAUGGAGGAGAUUUGAGAUCAAACAGCUUGAAAAUGGCCUCACCUGUUGAGUUUGAGUUGCUAUGUCACAUUGAGCCAAUGGAGGCUGGAAGAGAGGAGACACAGUGAGCUUCUCCUGCUGGGCAGAACUGAGAGAAGAAAAUGAAGAUUUAACUAUACAGUCCUGAUGAGAAGCCAGAUGAACUCCAUCUAUCCAUGCCUGGUUCCCUUCAUCCAUCUAUCCAUGCCUGGUUCCCUUCAUCCAUCUAUCCAUGCCUGGUUCCCUUCAUCCAUCUAUCCAUGCCUGGUUCCCUUCAUCCAUCCAUGGAUGAAUAAAUUUUUUCCAUUUUUUAAUUUUAUCUCCAGUGCUUAACAUUGUCCUUGAUGUUUAAGGUUAUAUAAGGUUAAAUUGUCAUUAUCUGUAUCUGGAAUGUUUUACUUUAUCUCCAACGUUUAAUGCAAAAAAGGAAACUUUUCUGGAGAUGAAAUUUGACAUCUGAUAAACAUUGCCAAUUAUGUUAAACAUCAAAGAUAACGGAAAGCAUUGUCCUUAAUUAAAUAAAAAAAUCGGGGACAACGUUAAAUAUCCUGGAUAUUAAAUGCUAAACAUCAGAGAUAAAGUUAAACAUCCCGGAUGGCAUUAAACAGCCACGAUAACGAUAACCAUUGGUGGCUGAAGCUUAACAUUGACAAUGUUAAACUUUGAAGAUAAACAUUGGGGGCAACUUUAUUUUCACACGAUUUAUUUGAAAUUUGAUUUCAAGUCUGAAAAUCUUGGACCGUUAAAGUUUUUUUUUUUUUGUACUGUAGUAACCAUUAAACAAUCUCCCUUUCAGUUCAGCCUUGUUAGUAGAGACACAUUGUUGAUGUUUCCGUCAUACAAUAACUUGCAAUUAAGUAUUUGCAAAGCUCAAUGUAAUUUUCACAGGUGGUGGAACAUUAUUGUCAACAGCUGCUGAAAGUAACUAGAAAAGUUACUUUUAAUGUAACUUAAUUACUUUUCAAAUCAAGUAAUUAGGAAUUUAAGUUACUUUUUCAAGAAUUAAUUAGUAAUCCGAUUAAAGUUACUUUUGCAAAGUAACUAUGCCAUCACUGGUCACCACAGAGACAUGAAGUUACUUGGAUCAUGUCCUUAUUUAGGUUUUAAUUCUUGAGAUCCGGCACCCAAAGUCUAAAAAACUUCAAAUGCCUUUUGAAAAGCCUGAGGAACGACAGAUUGAUGGAGUGAUUUAAAAUUUCUGCAGUUACAAGUAUGAAUGUGAACUGUUAAUUUUUUUAUUCAGUAUCUGAUAUCUUUCUAUUGUCUUCUACCGUAAUUACAAUUUAUUUAAUUAAAAGUGUUAUAAAUGCAAAGUGUCUAAAUGUAGAACUGUUUUCAUCAUGGUUAAGAGGAAGUUAAUUUAAAUUCAAGCUUAAAAAAGUCAUUUAAGGCUUAAAUUCAAUAUUGUUGCAUCCUUUCUCAUGUAUUUUCUCACUUUCAAAAGUAUUUUUCAGUGUCUGUGUGCUCCCACGUUUGCUAAAUUAAAUUAUAUUAAACAUGUGACUGUGCUGUUAGAUAUCAGUCAUGAUCAGCGUCUGUGAUGUUUUAUUCAUUUUAAAACCAUAUGUUUUUGUUGUGUGGAAAAUAAAUCUCUCUGAAAUAAUAAACAGCAUACCAAGCAAAAUCUGUGCAGUUUAAGUGUAGAAAACAAUUCUUUUAAAAAAUUGUUAAAAUAAUCUAAAAACAUAAAAAUUUAAAAACCAUGUAAAGAAAACACUUAAGAGAUUUUUGUAAUUUUAUUUAAACUGAGAAUCAGACUUUUUCAUAAGGCAAUUGUCUAAAAUCUUUCUAAACAAUUUGGAAAAAAAACAUCUUGUAAUUUUAUGACAAAUACAUAACAUGAGAAUAACAGAAAAUAUCAAAUAACAUACUAAUUACAAAAAGGUACAUUCAAUUUCAAAGCUUGAAACCUGUUUUUUUUUAUUUGAGGGGAAGCGGCUGUGGAUCCCCCUGAGUCAGACUGUAAAUGACCCACAGCGCUCCACGGCUCAGAGAAGGGAGAAAACAGAGAGCGCGUUUUGUCCACUCCGUGCUUUAUUCCUUCAAAUUCACAUAAUCGGACAGGAACAUCAUUCCAACACCUUUAACGAGAAAGAGCAGCAAACCUUCUGCACUGAAACAAAAAAAAGAUCGAACAAACAAAUGAGGUAGCCCUCGUUCACCUGCAUGAGAUUUAAAGAUCCAACUAUGAACCAGGUUUUAUGACAACUGGACUUAUUUCAGCCUUGUUUUUAAAAAGCAGGAUGCAAUCUUUAUCACUGCACAUCACUUCCUUACAAAAGCUGUAAGGUUAAAAAAAGAAAAAGUUGUCAUAUUCUAGAUUGGGUCUUUAAGUCACAAAUACAUGAAAUACAAAGACACUGAAAUUAAACAGUCAUUGUUUUAUCUUAGUGGAAGAACAACAGCACCUUAUCCUGAUUUAAAACUAACAAUACAUUAUUUAGGUGGAAAUAAAUCCAGUUUCCAGGUUGCUCUCAUAGAAAAAAA